rnacentral:rRNA from 1 species
AUUGAACGCUGGCGGCAGGCCUAACACAUGCAAGUCGAACGGUAACAGGAAACAGCUUGCUGUUUCGCUGACGAGUGGCGGACGGGUGAGUAAUGUCUGGGAAACUGCCUGAUGGAGGGGGAUAACUACUGGAAACGGUAGCUAAUACCGCAUAACGUCGCAAGACCAAAGAGGGGGACCUUCGGGCCUCUUGCCAUCGGAUGUGCCCAGAUGGGAUUAGCUAGUAGGUGGGGUAACGGCUCACCUAGGCGACGAUCCCUAGCUGGUCUGAGAGGAUGACCAGCCACACUGGAACUGAGACACGGUCCAGACUCCUACGGGAGGCAGCAGUGGGGAAUAUUGCACAAUGGGCGCAAGCCUGAUGCAGCCAUGCCGCGUGUAUGAAGAAGGCCUUCGGGUUGUAAAGUACUUUCAGCGGGGAGGAAGGGAGUAAAGUUAAUACCUGUGCUCAUUGACGUUACCCGCAGAAGAAGCACCGGCUAACUCCGU